GAUGAACGCUGGCGGCGUGCCUAAUACAUGCAAGUCGAGCGAACGGACGAGAAGCUUGCUUCUCUGAUGUUAGCGGCGGACGGGUGAGUAACACGUGGAUAACCUACCUAUAAGACUGGGAUAACUUCGGGAAACCGGAGCUAAUACCGGAUAAUAUUUUGAACCGCAUGGUUCAAACGUGAAAGACGGUCUUGCUGUCACUUAUAGAUGGAUCCGCGCUGCAUUAGCUAGUUGGUAAGGUAACGGCUUACCAAGGCAACGAUGCAUAGCCGACCUGAGAGGGUGAUCGGCCACACUGGAACUGAGACACGGUCCAGACUCCUACGGGAGGCAGCAGUAGGGAAUCUUCCGCAAUGGGCGAAAGCCUGACGGAGCAACGCCGCGUGAGUGAUGAAGGUCUUCGGAUCGUAAAACUCUGUUAUGAGGGAAGAACAUAUGUGUAAGUAACUGUGCACAUCUUGACGGUACCUAAUCAGAAAGCCACGGCUAACUACGUG
rnacentral:rRNA from 1 species